rnacentral:rRNA from 1 species
AACGAACGCUGGCGGCAUGCCUAACACAUGCAAGUCGAACGAGACCUUCGGGUCCUUUCUCGCCCGGCUUCGUAACCCGUCGGAACCUUCCCUUAGGUUCGGCCUAACUCUCCGACAGGGGUACUUAUACCGGAUCAUGUCUUCUGCCCAAAGAUUUAUUGCCUUUGGUUGGUCCCUCGUUGGAUUCGCUAGUUCGUAGGGUAAUAGCCUACCAAGGCGACGAUGCAUAGCUUGUCAGGGAGGAUGAUCAGCCACACUGGGACUGAGACACGGCCCAGACUCCUACGGGAGGCAGCAGUGGGGAAUAUUGGACCGUGGGCGAAGGCCUGAUCCAGCAAGGCCGCGUGAGUGAUGAAGGCCUUAGGGUUGUAAUGCGUUAUUACCCGGGAUGAUAAUGACAGUACCGGGACAAUAAGCUCCGGCUAACUACGUG